rnacentral:rRNA from 1 species
ACUCCUACGGGAGGCAGCAGUGGGGAAUAUUGGACAAUGGGCGAAAGCCUGAUCCAGCAAUGCCGCGUGAGUGAUGAAGGCCUUAGGGUUGUAAAGCUCUUUUACCCGGGAUGAUAAUGACAGUACCGGGAGAAUAAGCCCCGGCUAACUCCGUGCCAGCAGCCGCGGUAAUACGGAGGGGGCUAGCGUUGUUCGGAAUUACUGGGCGUAAAGCGCGCGUAGGCGGCUUUGUAAGUUAGAGGUGAAAGCCCGGAGCUCAACUUCGGAAUUGCCUUUAAGACUGCAUCGCUAGAAUCGUGGAGAGGUGAGUGGAAUUCCGAGUGUAGAGGUGAAAUUCGUAGAUAUUCGGAAGAACACCAGUGGCGAAGGCGACUCACUGGACACGUAUUGACGCUGAGGUGCGAAAGCGUGGGGAGCAAACAGGAUUAGAAACCCCAGUAGUCCCAUG